UGAAUUUGGGAAAAGUCGGAUUUCAGCUGAUAAUUUGAACAAUCACUGCCUAGUGCCUUCACCUAGGGCUUUCACAGUUUCACUCCCAAGUCCCAAUUCCCAAAUCGAAGCUGCUCUCCAGCCUCCGCCAGUCCGCCGCACUCUACCUCUCCUGUCUCCAUCUCAGUCCUCAUUUGACCUCAUUUCUCACUUCACCAGUUCAUCGCUGCCGAGUACCGAAGCCGAAGCACCAAUACUGCUCAUCUCUGGCUCGCUUAGGUAAGUGCUCAUCUCUGGCAGUAAAAUGGCCAAGAUCGACUAGGAAAUUUGUUAUCCUGAAUUGAUAAGGGGACGAAAUCUGAGCUUCCAAUUGCAAACUCUCACUUUUGUAAUAGUUUAGAUUAGAUUUGAUAUAACAUAAGCUUUGUAUUUUAUACAUAAGAAAUCUCUCUCCAGUUGUGCAGCCUUUGAAAGUUAAGGCCUUGGGGAAAAAUUCCACCUUUUACCCGUUAGAAAAAUUAUAAAGGAAAAAACUUGCUAAAAUGAAAAUUUUACUUCCUUGUCCGUGGGAGAUUCUCUUAAUUAAUGGGUCUUGCCAACAUUCUGGAUGAAGUUAUGCACUUGUGCUUCUUUGAAACUAGUCUAUUCUUGGCCUUGAAUAUUAUAUUGGCCAACAACCUAGAUUUAAGUCUUGAUACAACAGGAGAAUAUUUUUGGGCUGAACAGGUUUCUGUCCAAAAGUAAUAUGAUAAAAUGUCCCUGACCCAAUUUCUUUGUGUGCAUUAUAUGCAAAUCUGGUGAAGUUAAUACU
rnacentral:lncRNA from 1 species